rnacentral:rRNA from 1 species
UACGUAGGGUGCAAGCGUUAUCCGGAAUUAUUGGGCGUAAAGAGCUCGUAGGCGGUUUGUCGCGUCUGCUGUGAAAACUGGAGGCUCAACCUCCAGCCUGCAGUGGGUACGGGCAAACUAGAGUGCGGUAGGGGAGAUUGGAAUUCCUGGUGUAGCGGUGGAAUGCGCAGAUAUCAGGAGGAACACCGGUGGCGAAGGCGGGUCUCUGGGCAGUAACUGACGCUGAGAAGCGAAAGCGUGGGGAGCGAACAGG